rnacentral:rRNA from 1 species
UGAGGAAUAUUGGUCAAUGGGCGAGAGCCUGAACCAGCCAAGUAGCGUGCAGGAUGACGGCCCUAUGGGUUGUAAACUGCUUUUAUAUGGGAAUAAAGUGAGGGACGUGUUCCUUAUUGCAUGUACCAUACGAAUAAGGACCGGCUAAUUCCGUGCCAGCAGCCGCGGUAAUACGGAAGGUCCAGGCGUUAUCCGGAUUUAUUGGGUUUAAAGGGAGCGUAGGCUGUUUGUUAAGCGUGUUGUGAAAUGUAAGAGCUCAACUUUUAGAUUGCAGCGCGAACUGGCAGACUUGAGUGCGCACAACGUAGGCGGAAUUCAUGGUGUAGCGGUGAAAUGCUUAGAUAUCAUGACGAACUCCGAUUGCGAAGGCAGCUUACGGGAGCGCAACUGACGCUAAAGCUCGAAGGUGCGGGUAUCGAACAGG